rnacentral:lncRNA from 1 species
UGCUUCCCCUCCUCUGGCUUCUUACCACAUCCUGGAGCUUCCCUCUGCUUGCUUAAGCAGGGUCAAGGGACCACAACCUGUGCAAUACAUGCUUCUCAUCAUUUCUUGGGCAAUGAUGGCCUCACCUUCCUACAGCCAAUUAAAUCUGGGCAGGACUCCCCUGAGGAUGUGGCCUUAUAAAGCACCUGGCUACAGGCUAGAGAGCACUCUGCUCUGCCUCACCAUGAAGUCUGGUGGCCUCGUCUUCUUCCUCGUGGGGCUCUUCGCUCUAUGUGCCAUGAUGCCCUCUGCCUCAGCCCAAGGGAAGCCUGGGAAUUGCCCUAUCCGUGCUGCAGUAGUGAAGCCACCUUGCAUUAAGUGGUGUGAUACAGAUUAUGAUUGUCCUUCCAUCCAGAAAUGCUGCUCAAAAUUUUGCUCCAUGGUCUGCGAAAACCCAAUAAACUGACGACAGUGAUGCACAGCCUGAAAUCCCUGCAACUUCUACAGUUUUGGAGAGGUGAACUCAGAACCCAAGGAGUGAAGGCAACGAUAAAUCCAGCUCCCUCUUGACCCAAUGGGCCCGAUCCAGCUUCCUUCCCUGUCUGCAAUAAAAUGAUCCCUGUGCCUGCAUACCAGAGUGUCUUGUUC